rnacentral:tRNA from 1 species
GCGGAAGUAGUUCAGCGGUAUAACAUCACCUUGCCAAGGUGGGGGUCGCGGGUUCGAACCCCGUCUUCCGCU